UACAGAGGGGGCAAGCGUUAUUCGGAAUUAUUGGGCGUAAAGGGCGCGUAGGCGGCUUUUCAAGUGACGGGUGAAAUCCCUCGGCUUAACCGAGGAACUGCCUGUCAGACUGGAAGGCUUGAGACCGGGAGAGGUGAGUGGAAUUCCCAGUGUAGCGGUGAAAUGCGCAGAUAUCAGGAAGAACACCCGUGGCGAAGGCGGCUCUCUGGGACGGUACUGACGCUGAGACGCGAAAGCGUGGGGAGCGAACAGG
rnacentral:rRNA from 1 species